rnacentral:lncRNA from 1 species
GUUAUUAAAGCUCCUGCAUUUCCCGUCUCUUGUGCCUGUUAAUUUGGUUUGUAAGUGACGUAAAAUGAAGUAUGUCAUAAUUAGUGAUAAAAAGUGAGGAUACGGUUUCAGUGACGCUGAUGAGUGACUGAGGUCUCUUCUUAGUUUAUAAUGACUGGUUCAUACUGCAAAUGGGAGAAUGACGUUUGAGGAUAUCCUUUUUAUGGCAUAUUUUUUUUUCUCAAGAGAUGAACCUAAUCAGUUGAAUCCUUAUGGUCCUUGUUUGUUUUGCUUCAGGUGUGCCCCGUCUGCGCUAAAAGAGUGGGAUUGGAUAUCGUUGGCCAUAUUACUACGCAGCAUCAGAGUUUAUUUAAGAUAUCCUUUUCCUAAACUCUAUAGUCUAAUGCAGUUUCCUUCUUUUAUCAAUCAUUUGGGUGAUUGUGCUCUAAGUAGUUCACCUGUUGAAUUGUAUGGGAUAAAAACAUAUUGUAUUCUUUAUAUCCAUGCUCUAUCAACUGGCUCUAUUUUCUUACUGUUCGUACACUGGGAUUCCUUGACUGGAGCAUUACGUGCAGCGUAAGAGACGAUUGCGUAAAGGUGGAUCUAACUCGACAUUCUCUUCACUGUUGAAGAAAGAACUCCGCGAUGGCAGCUUACAGUCACUCCUCGGGGGUUCUUCCUAUGUCUCCAGUACAGAGCCUGAUCCGUU